CUGAAAACGUUAGUUGCUCCAACAGGUCGGCGGUCCACGGGCCAAAGGAACGGAACGCAGGACGUGGACAACGAUGACUUGCAUUUCCAUUCUUCCAUUCCACUUCCGGAUUCUCCUGCUGUUGCAGGUCCUGGUGGCCUACGCAUCUCCCAGAGCGGGGCACCCGUGCGAUGGUAUCGAGGGAACAUACGAUGACUGGAUAGACAUCGCGGCCUCCAAGGAGGUCGUCAUUGUAGGCUGAGGAAUGGCCGGUCUCUCCGCCGCAAAGAAGCUCCUACAAGAAGGUGUCAAAAAUCUCGUUGUACUAGAGGCGCAGGACUACUUGGGGGGCCGCGUAAAGACUUAUCGG